CUUUGUUACACACACCUCCUUUGUGAAAAACUGGUUAUAGCUAUCCUCAGAGCCCAUUAACUUCCAUUAAAUAGAAGAUGGUCUGGAUAUUCUUCAAAAAUUCAAAGUCAUACUGUUUGGAACAAGAUUGGGUGAGAUAACGAUAGGGUGAUAAUGUGACACCUCCUCGGCCGAAGCAAUGGAUGGAAAGAGCUUCAGAGAGCGAGAGAGAGAAAGAAAGAGGGAUGUGUCCCUGGUGUGUUGACAGGAAAAGAGAGGUGUUGUGUGAAGUAGAAAAAUAUCCAGAUAUCCAGAGGGCCACUCUCUCCACAGCACCCUUCAGGCAGGUAAUUAGUGCGGCGCUGGUGUAAGGCUACGAAUACGAACGUCGCCAUCACAGUGUUGUGACAGAAUUUACACCUUUUCAUUAACUGUUGUCUGACUCUACAGCAAAUAGCACUUUUCCUCUAAACAGGCUGGAUAAUUGAGGUUGAACUGCUUUAUUAUCAUCUGUUUUUGAGCUUUUAUGCACACUCUUUCUGGAGAGUUUAAGUGCAUCUUAUAUAAUAACCAUAAACAUGGUCGUGAUCUUUAGAAAAAGUUCAUUUUAAUAUAUAGGACCAAAAAGGAAUACUCUGGGUUCAAUAUUAUGCAGGUUGAGAGGAUAGUUCACCCAAAAAUGAAUUCUGUCACCAGUUACUCACCCUCACGUCAUUCCAAACCCAUAAAACUACCGUUCAUCUUCAGAACACAAAUGAAGAUAUUUUUAAUGAAACAAGAGGUUCCUGUUCCCCCAUUGAAAGUCCAUUCCACCAAUAAAAGCUUCAACAAGUUUAAAAAGACAUUUUCUUAAAUCAUCAAAAUCAAUAACAUGUAUGUUAGACCCUAUAUCGACUAAGCUACUAAAAGAGAUUCUUCCAGAAGUCAUAGAUCCUCUUCUUAAUAUUAUGUAUUCAUCAUUGUCUUUAGGAUGUCUUAAAAAAUGUCAAGCUGUUAUUGAACCUCUCAUUAAAAAAAAAAAAAAAAAAAAAAAACACAA